AUGGCUUUGGACGCUCCCAGCGGGGUUCACACUGCCGGGGUCAAGUGUCGGGUAGGGGUAAAGUAAAAAGGAGAGCUGUGGGGAAUGGUGCGCUGAGAACUGAGCCUCCGAGAGACUCGGAAACGGUGCGGCCCUCUCUGUUGUCCCGGAACUCGCCUUCACCGAAGGGACCUUCUCAGCCGCUGCACUCCCGGGGACAACGCCGUCGCGCCCCAGUACCCUCUGUGCUCUUGCUGUUCCCUUGGCCUAGAAUGCUCUUCCUUAAGAUGCAGCCCGGCCUCUGGGGGCCGCUGCCGGGCCUGUGAGCCUGUGGACCAGGAGCUCCUGCUGCCGUCGUAGCGUCACGUCCGGUCUCGGGCGGAAGUUUUCCGGCGGCUACCGGGAAGUCGCUGAAGACAGAGCGAUGGUAGUUCUGGAGGCCUCGCUCCGGGGCCGACCCGAGGCCACAGUGCCUCCGCGGUAGACCGGACUUGGGUGACGGGCUCCGGGCUCCCGAGGGAUGGAAGGGUCUAAGACGUCCAACAACAGCACCAUGCAGGUGAGCUUCGUGUGCCAGCGC
rnacentral:lncRNA from 1 species